rnacentral:lncRNA from 1 species
AGAGGUACCAGAACAGAAGAUUAAAGAAAAGCUUUUGCAAAGUUUCGGUGAUGAAACCCUAAGCUCUGUUAUGAAGUAACUUUCUUUCUUUCUCUCUCUCUCCAAAAACACUAAAACAAACAUCAAGAUGUUUUUCUUUUGUAAUAUGCAUGUCUUUUUUUCUUCUUUCUAAGAUUCAACCUUCAAUAUAAAUUAUUCUUCCAUGUUGCGUUGAUGAAAACCUGUUUGUGACACCUUCCAUUUCUGCAUGAACUUUAGUUGAGGUUAUAUUCGGCUUUUGUUAUUUUUAUUUUUUAAUUCUCUACUGCUUACAUGCUUCUUGUAUCCGAACAGGCGAAUUGUUCAUGCAGUUGAAUUUUGCAACAUUUUCUUAUUGUUCGGGGCUUAAGCUUCUGUUCAUUUUUUCAUUAUUAUAUUUUUAUGCUUUGUUUUUACGACUAAUCCUAUACCACACAGUGAAGUGAUCACAGAGAAUGACUGGAAAUUUGUCCAGCUUGGGCUUGCUCUAUUUUAGAACAUUUUAGCCAUUCAAGACAUCUCGUUGCAGUAGAAGGCUAGGAGUCUGCAUGCCACUCAAUUUUUAUCUCUGAGUAACCAAUUUUUGGAGCUGUUAUUCUUCAUUGAUUUAGAAGAUGAGCUGUUAUUUUUUGGGAAAUCUGUGUUAUAAUGCACAAUAGUAUGAAUUGGGAUAUGCUACUACUGAAAACAGAGCAAUCUGUUUUUGUGGUGUCCAAGCAUGAAAG